UACAGAGGUCUCAAGCGUUGUUCGGAUUCAUUGGGCGUAAAGGGUGUGUAGGUGGCGCGCUAAGUCGGGUGUGAAAUUUCGGAGCUUAACUCCGAAACUGCAUUCGAUACUGGCGUGCUUGAGGACUGGAGAGGAAACUGGAUUACGGUGUAGCAGUGAAAUGCGUAGAUAUCGUAAGGAAGACCAGUGGCGAAGGCGGGUCUCUGGACAGUUCCUGGACACUG
rnacentral:rRNA from 1 species